rnacentral:rRNA from 1 species
AAGGAAGCACACUAAGGUCAUAGAUUAAGCCAUGCAAGUGUUAGUUCAGGCAACGAAACUGCGAAUAGCUCAUUAAUACGCUCAGAAUCUAUUUGGCAGCGACCUCCAGGUUUUAGAUGGAUAGCAGCAGUAAUUCUGGUGCUAAUACAUGCAAUUGUUUCAUCGGAAGUGAAUUACGAUGGAAAAGUUGACCGCAAGGCAAGCCAUUCGAUUGAGCGGCCUAUCAGCUUGUACUUAGGGUCUUUACCUAGGUAGGCUGUCACGGGUAACGGGCGGUUACCGUCGGACUGCCGGAGAAGGCGCCUGAGAGAUAGCGACUAUAUCUACGGGUAGCAGCAGGCGCGAAACUUACCCACUCGAGACUUUCGGAGGUGGUAAUGACCAGUUCUAAGUCAAUUCCAUAAGGAGUUGCUAAGGAUAGGCUCACACUUCUCAAAUGUGAAGAAACCAAGCAGAGGGCCAGUCUGGUGCCAGCAGCUGCGGUAAUUCCAGCUCUGCUAGUUUGCUCCCAUAGUGUUGCAGUUAAAACGCNCGUAGUCGNAAAUACAUUGUUUAUGCGNCCUCAAACCGCGUUCACUGUGAACAAAUCAGGACGCUUAAAGUAAGGUUACUUGAAUGACUAAGCGCAGUAUGAUAUGUUUACCUAAGGUAAGAUCAAAGAGAGCCAUCGGGGGUAGAUCUAUUUCAUGGCGAGCGGUGGAAUGCUAUAACCCAUGAGAGAGAAACUAAGGNGAAGGCAUCUACCUAGCGGGUUUCUGUCGAUCAAGGGCGAGAGUAGGAAGAUCCAACCGGAUUAGAGACCCGGGUAGUUCCUACCUUCAAAGAUGCCGACACGGGCUUAUCCUAAAUGAGGGUAGGAUCGUCGGAGAAAUCAUAGUUCUUGGGCUCUGGGGGAACUACGACCGCAAGGCUGAAACUUGAAGGAAUUGACGGAAGGGCACACCAGGGGUGGAGCUUGUGGCUUAAUUUGAAUCGACACGGGGAAACUUACCAGGACAAGAUGUUAUUUAUGAUUGACAGGCUGUAGGUCUUUCAGGAUUUGACUUGUGGUGGUGCAUGGCCGUUGGUGGUGCGUGGGUUGACCUGUCUAGCGUUGAUUCAGAUAACGAGCGAGAUUAUCACCAAUUGAUACCUUGUCUUGUACUUUGUACCAGCUCAGGGUUCCGAUUGGGACUGCCUGCGUCUAAGCAGGAGGAAGAAGGUAGCAAUAACAGGUCCGUGAUGUCCUUCAGACGNCCUGGGCUGCACGCGCGCUACAAUGUGAGGAUCAAUGAGCAUACGAGNCUCGACAGGGNAAGUUACUCUCCCAAAACCUCACGUACCUGGGAUUGACGGUUGUAAUCACCGUCAUGAACCAGGAAUCCCUUGUAAACGUGUGUCAACAACGCACGUUGAAUAUGUCCCUGCCCUUUGUACACACCGCCCGUCGCUCCUACCGAUGGAUGAUUCGGUGAAAUCACCCAACAGCUAGACUGAAGGUGCUUAAACCAUAUCCUCUAGA